UUGCCCCCGGUGAUGCGUUGGGCAGCCUGGAUUAGUAUGCAUAAAUGCACCCUGGGUUUUGAAGAGGGGUGGAGACCAAAAUAUUGAGGGGGUGGAGACCAGAGUAACCAGACUAGCAGAGAUGUACCAGCAAAUAACAUCAUCCCUCUGUUCAUCUGGAGAGAGGAAAGUAGCCAGAAAAUCUGAUCACGAUGGAUUACAUCAAGCCAGCAUUUGACAUUCUGUUCGAACAAGUGAGAAAAUCAGGCAGUUUUUACAUGAUCUUCUUUGCUCUUUUUCUGUACCACAUUAUGUUUGAUGACCACUUAAAAUGUUCUUGUGAAGAUGGUGUUAAAACAGUGGUUACCCCUCAACACUGUAUCUACUACAUGGUGUUUCCAGCUGUGAUCUUGAUUUUCUUGACUCUCUGGAUGGACAGAGAGUUUCAAAGAGUCUUGAGAAUGACAUGCAGAUGCAGAUGUGAUUUGUGUGGAAGACUGUUGGGAUUAUUAAUUAAGGCAGUCUCUAAAGGGUUGCUGUGGGUUGUGUGUGUGCUUUUUGAUGGGGACUGGUACGUGUGCUAUCAAAGACCAAAUUAUCCCUGCGGAUACAACACUGAUAAUACACCAUUCCGAAAGGACCUAGAAAAGCAAACUGAUAUCAAAGUGUUCUCCAUGGUUUACGGCUCUGGACUGGUUCUGUUUCUACUUGUUGGGAAUUCCAUUCUGACUGCAGUACCUUGGAGGGAUAUCUGUUGUAGAUCUUGCAAGGGUGUCAGACCUUAUCACAGGGAACUAUUUGAGGAGAAUAUUUGGGAAGAGACAGAAAUUCUUAUUGAAAAAGACUUAAAGAGAACAGCUCAGGAGAGUGUAGUUCUUAAAAGCAGAGGACUACUACCGCCCCUUCCGAAUGCAGCCCAAGGAAACAUACAGGGAGGCGGCGACACCACCCAUCCUGAGGUGGAAGAGAGAGUGAUCACCCUUAACAACCUUCAUUUUGACAUUAUAUCUAAUCUAGAUAAUGUUAUAAUUGAUCAAAUUAACACUAUGUACCGGAACCCGAACACGAACACGAACUCUCCACAGACCACGAACACGAACACGAACACGAACCCUCCACAGACCACGAACACGAACACGAACCCUCCACAGACCACGAACACGAACACGAACACGAACCCUCCACAGACCACGAACACGAACACGAACCCUCCACAGACCACGAACACGAACACGAACCCUCCACAGACCACGAACACGAACCCUCCACAGACCACGAACACGAACCCUCCACAGACCACGAACACGAACACGAACCCUCCACAGACCAAUGACGGAGACGAGACCAAUGACGGAGACGAGACCACAUCGGUUUAGGGAACAACAUCGGAAACCAGAAAAGAACAAACUAAUUCAAGGAACAAUAACCGAAGAAGUGGCCAGAUGCCACAACUUUAGGAAGGCCCUCAACCCUAACUGUGGUGUAAUAUUGGUCAAUGGUAUAAUACAGAUUUUUCCAUCAAAUGUGUGACUUGUCACAUAUUUGGUUAUAAUAUGUAAAAUGAUAUUGACAUUAAUUGUAUCAUACACUGUAUGUGAACCGUUUGUGAAAACUGUGGCUUUCAAGUGAAAUAUUCAAAUCAGCCACGCAAAAAUGAACUGUAGUGAGCAGUGACCCUGUGUUGAUAAGGUUACAUCUGUCUCACAAUAAACUGUGUUUCUGGUUAAGUUGGCAGCAAUAGUAUGGUACAAUACAACUAGAAUGGGUUAUAUGAGGGGGAGUGAGCAACUGUGGGUGAUAAACCUCAACAACGACCCUGUAUAAGCUUUCAUAAUGUCACAGGGUGGAAAUGUGAGCCGGGUGGAAAACAUGAGCCUGUUAGACCACAGUGAUGGUUGACAGAGCUGUUCUAGGUCAUCUUUAUUUCUAUGCUAUAAACAAUAUAACCUUCAUUAAUGAAUAUGUCUUAAUAUAACCAGUGAAUUAUUGUUUUUGUCCUUGAUGCUACAAUUCAUUUGUUAUUACUAUUGAUUGUGUUCUGUCUUUAUGUCUACCUUUAACAAACCAUUAAGAAUAUAUAAUAAUACUAACAAUCUGUAUCUCCUCCUGUCUUCAAUGUACCACAGCUGUUCACUUUGCAAUACUACACUUGUUUAUGCUGUUCAUUUUGAUAAGUCUCUAAAAUAAAAAUAAUAGUUGUAUUUUUUCCUGUA